GAAAAGCUUUUAAUUUGAGAUUACUAACACACACACACACACACACACCCCCGUGAAAGAUUAUUCGUGUGUUGAUCCAAAAAGCCAUCAAGGAUCUGCUGCUGUAGGACAGACAGAAAAUAUUAUUUUUUAAAAGAAUAAGCUACACCAGUCAUAAUUUUCUCAAAACCCACAAUUUUAACCAUUUAAACAUUUGUCUACCUGAGUGGUGUGCAAUGUAGUCAUAACUGGGAACUUCUAAGAUCUGGUAACCCAACUAUCUCCCUGCAAUUUAGAGCCAGGAUGGCAGUAUUUAUUAGCUUGAAGACAUGGUUACCUUCUCUGACAUCACUAAACGAGAUUGGGUUUAUGAAUGGACUCCUGUCCAUCAUUACCUCUAUAAUGAGCAAAUAUCAAAAGAAAUGGAUGAAGAAGCCCCUUGCACCAAUAUCUAUGCAAGGAGCAAAUGUGCUUAUGAUGCUACAUUUGUCAAAUUCUUAGAUCCAAAGCCUUUGGGUCAAACUCUGAAGUUAUCCAGGUAUGACUAUAAUGUUUUGGUCACUGCUCUUAAAAAGGUUAGAGUUACAGAAAUAAAAUCGUUUUGGUUUCUUAACAUUUCAAAGACAAACAAUGGAGCACAAAAAUAAAAUAAAAUAAAACAGAGGCUUCUAAAUCACAAACUCAAGCUAUAACCAAAAAGAACCUGAAAAAUGCCUUUUGCUCACUUUAAUGCUGGACCAAAGCUCAAUGUAUGUAGGUAUAUGCACAAUGUCUAAAAUGGUUAAAUAAUGCUGACAAUCCUGCAAUAAUAAACUGUCCUUAGAAAAUUAGAAAAUAAAUGUUUUACUUUUCUCAAUGUUUUGCCUCACUCUUCUUGGAUAACUGACUAUGUAGUACUUCGUUCGAGUGCUAAAGUGUACACAUUCGAGCUGCAAUCCUAUCACAGCACUGAAAAAGUCGAAAAUCUAAUUUGAUAUGCUUGGUUUUAUCUCAAAAUAAAAAUUUACAAAGUUGUUUUCAAUGUUUUCCUUGUAUGUGCCACACAAAUGACUACACUGCUAAAAGCCAAAGUUUUUUUUUUAUCAUUUAAAUGUGCUUAUAAUCUGUUAUGAUUUCUCUUUUUAGGCAGUUUUUAUAAUUCCUAUCAUUAAACAUACAUAUGAAAAGACAGCACUGAGUGAGAAAUUGUGUUUUCCAAAAAAAGAAAAAGGAGUUUAACGGGGUGGACAUGUGUAUCA